rnacentral:rRNA from 1 species
UGUAACCAUGCCGAACACAGAAGUUAAGCUUCUUAGCGCCGAUUGUAGUGAGGGGUUGCCCCUUGUGAGAGUAGGACGUCGCCACGC